rnacentral:rRNA from 1 species
CCUACGGGGGACAGCAGUGAGGAAUAUUGGUCAAUGGGCGCGAGCCUGAACCAGCCAAGUCGCGUGAGGGAAGACGGUCCUAUGGAUUGUAAACCUCUUUUGUCGGGGAGCAAAACACGCCACGCGUGGCGCUCCGAGAGUACCCGUAGAAAAAGCAUCGGCUAACACCGUGCCAGCAGCCGCGGUAAUACGGAGGAGGCGCGCGUUAUCCGGUUUUAUUGGGUUAAAGGGGUGCGCAGGCGGAAGAUCAAGUCAGCGGUAAAGUUGCGAGGCUCAUCCUCUUCGAGCCGUUGAAACUGGUGUUCUUGAGUGCGCGAGAAGUAUGCGGAAUGCGUGGUGUAGCGGUGAAAUGCAUAGAUAUCACGAAGAACUCCGAUUGCGAAGGCAGCAUACCGGAGCGCAACUGACGCUCAUGCACGAAAGUGUGGGUAUCGAACAGGAUUAGAUACCCUUGUAGUC